GGGCGGCCGGCGCCCCUCUCCGCGGACCGAGCUCCCCGCUGCGAGGGCCCGCGUGAAGCUGCGGGCAACCGGGCGGGCCUGGCACUGAGCUGGGGUCGGGGUUUUGAGAGCGGGCCAAGUUGCCAGGCGAGUGGAACAGCGACUGACAGGGGACACGGCAAGGAGCGGGGAGCACGGGGGCGCCACGGCGGAAGGCGGGCGCAUGGGAGGCUCUUCAAUGUCACCAGCGAAAUGGGUUCCAUAUGUCCGCCCGGAAAGAUGGGAGGGGAACGGAGGGUUCUGGGCAGGAACCAGCGGGAGGGUGAGGCGCGGGGUGCGCAAUGGAGGGAGCCGAGUAGUGACCAGGGGUAAUGGCAGGGAUGGGAGAGGCCAGAAAGGUUUGCAUUUUCCAUUGGCCCUGGAGUUUUCUAAAGCUGCUUAGGCUGGUAGGAACUUUCCCCUUUUCCUUUUGCCUUUUUUUUUCCUGAAAGGUGGGAGAGGGAGGAGAUUAGUGAGGGUAGCAUGUUUGUUCAGGCUGGGGGUUCAGGGAAGAGAUGUGGAUUGGAGGUGAAAGGGAAAGUUCUUAGGCGGCUGGAAGAUCAAGUUCUCCCUGUCCCUAAAGAGGGAAAGAAGAGACCAAACCCCAGAGGGAGCAGAGGCCAAGGAAGGAUUCCAAGGUUCAGGCUCUAUCUGCCUUCAGAGUUGGUUCUUUACCCCGGGCUGAAGUUGGAGCCGCCAAACUGCUGGAGGGGAACAGCUGAAAAAUGAAGCUCUGUCUGCUGCUGCAGGAAUGUUGGCUGUAUCAGGCUCACAAAUAUAAUUUUUAUAUUA